rnacentral:rRNA from 1 species
AAUGAACGUUGGCGGCGUGGAUUAGGCAUGCAAGUCGUGCGAGAACCGUAGCAAUACGGGGACAGCGGCGUAAGGGAGAGGAAUACGCGGGUACCUACCCUCGGGUCUGGGAUAGCCACGGGAAACUGUGGGUAAUACCAGAUAAUGUCUUCGGACCAAAGGUGUGAUUCCGUCCGAGGAGGGGCCCACGUCCUAUUAGCUAGUUGGUGAGGUAACGGCUCACCAAGGCGAAGAUGGGUAUGGGAUGUGAGAGCAUGAUCCCACUCACUGGGACUGAGACACUGCCCAGACACCUACGGGUGGCUGCAGUCGAGAAUCUUCGGCAAUGGGCGCAAGCCUGACCGAGCGACGCCGCGUGCGAGAUGAAGGCCUUCGGGUUGUAAAUCGCUGUCAGAGGGGAGGAAAUGCCGGUGGGUACUCUCAUCGGUUUGACCUAUCCUCAGAGGAAGGACGGGCUAAGUUCGUG